rnacentral:rRNA from 1 species
UACGGAGGGGGCUAGCGUUGUUCGGAAUCACUGGGCGUAAAGCGCACGUAGGCGGAUCUUUAAGUCAGGGGUGAAAUCCCGAGGCUCAACCUCGGAACUGCCCUUGAUACUGGGGAUCUCGAGUCCGGAAGAGGUUGGUGGAACUCCGAGUGUAGAGGUGAAAUUCGUAGAUAUUCGCAAGAACACCAGUGGCGAAGGCGGCUCACUGGCCCGAUACUGACGCUGAGGCACGAAAGCGUGGGGAGCAAACAGG